AGAAGUAAACUUAGGGGAUACACAAAAAUCGAUUCCGAGGGAUAUCUGAUAUCUGGUAUCCCAUAUCCCAUAUCCCAUAUCCCAUGUGUGUGGGGUUUUGGGCGUUGGGUUUGGUACCGGGUACUGCAGGAACCUCUUCUGCUGCUUCUCCGGCGGCUUCCUCCUCUGUUUCAUGUGCUCCCUCCGCUUUGGUCGCGUCUUCAAUUGCUGUUGUUGUUGUCAGGCGUGUGCGGUGCGCGUUGAAUCCGCUAUAACAGUGUUAGUACGUUAGUAGGUAUACAAACAGGUAAAACAGGUAUUCUCCGCCGCUCUGCCCAUGCUCAUCAUCAUCGCGAUCAUGACCACCGUAAUGAUGAUGUUCUUUUGCCGCUGCUGCUGCCGCUGCUGCUGCUGCUGCCUGUGCUCCUCCGUCUCCUUCUUGCUCUACCACCACAAUGGGCUGGCUGGCAAGCUGCUUCUUACCUCACUUGAAGCAUUAUUUCAGCGAGUCGCCGUCGAUGACGACAAUUGAGCAAAUAAAGAUAAAACUACAACAAAAACACUAUAGGAGCCCAGCGAAAAACGAAUUGCUCCGAACGGUAGUUCAGCUAUAUUCAGUAUGUAAGUAUCUUAUAGUUUCAUCCUAUAGUUUGUUGAUCGGAUCACUCCAGUAAAAUGUUUAAAAUAAAUUUGUAAUUGAUUUUUUCAAUAUUUCCGUUUAUAAAUAAAAUGCUGCAUGGAAAAUUAAAUACUAAAAAAGAAGAGUGAGUGAGAUCGGGCGAUGCAAGCGCAUUGAGGCCCAAAGGAACACAUUCUUAAACACAGCAAUUACCCAGCGAAAUGGGCUUUGGUGGGCCAAGAGGCGGCUGGCGGGCCGAAGAUGCAGACAGUAAGAACGAGAAAAUUCUACUGGCUCUGUGGGCCCAGCGAACCUCCACCAACCCACCCACCCCCUGAAGAAACCCCACCCAACCAACUAGCCAAGAACCAAAGCCAAAGUCAAGGCAUUAACAGCCCAGUGAACACAACACUCACACACUUGCCAUGUGCAAUUCUACGCGCACUUCGGAGUAUAUAUAUAUCCGUACAUACAUAUGGAUCUGGGGGGUAGUGUGGGUUUGGGUCUAUACCUUCGGUGGCCUAGGUCUGGGCCAACAACAAUAACCAGCUCGGCUCUCAUUGGGGUUUGCAAUCAAGCGCUUGAGAUUCGCUUUUGGUUACAGAUCUUGAUCCACUAUCUGCUCUAUCUAAAACCCUGAUUGAAUAAAAUAUGAAAAUAAAUGCAUUUGGAGCAGCGGAGUGUACAAAAAACAAAGCAAAAGUAAAAGAAGUAGAAAUCUUCGUGCAUUUGAGGAUGAUAACAAAUGUUUCGAGGGACCAAAAUCAGUGUUUAACUCGGUUCUGGGCCAGAACACUUGCAAUUUGGCCAGCGAGCGGCUUUUUGAGUGAGAGUGAAGUUGGCGCAGGAACAAUGCAGCAGCAGCAAAGACGACAACAACCACACAGGGAGGUGUUCUUCAGAAGGCUCCACCGAUCGAGAGGAAAAGAACCAUAGGCAGACCCCUGAUAACGCCAACAUCACGACAUUAACAUUGCCGCUGCCUCAACGGCAAAGUCACAGUCAAAGCCAAAGUUGCCAACAGGUUUUCAGAGCCUGCCUCUUCGGGCCGAGAUUCUUCAAUGCGCUCUUCGUAGAUUCUCUCGCGAUACACAUCGAUACACAGGCGAAAAAUCUCGAAGAAUAUUUGUUGA